rnacentral:misc_RNA from 1 species
UCAAACUUGGUCAUUUAGAGGAAGUAAAAGUCGUAACAAGGUUUCCAUAGGUGAACCUGUGGAAGGAUCAUUACUGAAUAAAGCAUGGUUGGGGGUUGUUGCUGGCAUGGCAUUCUUGUAAUGCAUGUGCACACCUCUGCCACUCUGUCAUUCACCCUCUCCACCUGUGCAUUCUAUUGUAGGCCAGAUUGCCAUUUCUCGCUGGUGGUUCUCUUGAACGCUCUUGCGUCUUGGGGCUUGCUGUUGCAGUGACAGCUCUUCUCGUUGGCAUCUUGGUCUAUGCUCUUUUUGCCCAAACACCCCCACAUUUUUGUUUUGUAUAUGUAUGGACAAUAAGCUUUGUUAAAGCAUAUGUGUGUGUGCACAACUUUCAACAACGGAUCUCUUGGCUCUUGCAUCGAUGAAGAACGCAGC